rnacentral:rRNA from 1 species
GGGGGGGGGGGGGGGGGGGGGGGGGGGGGGGGGGGGGGGGGGGGGGGGGGGGGGCUUGCGCUGCUGGGGUGGGUGGGGAGCGGGUGGGUGACGCGGAGGUAAGCUGCCUUGUGGCGGGGGGUGACUAUUGGACGCGAUAGCUAAUACCGCCUAACAAUGGAUGACACAUAUCAUUUAUUUGAAAGGGGCACUUGCUCCGCUACAAGAUGGACCUGCGUUGUAUUAGCUAGUAGGUGAGGUAAUGGCUCACCUAGUCGACGAUACAUAGCCGGCCUGAGAGGGUGAUCGGCCAGACUGGGACUGAGAAAGGGCCCAGACUCCUACGGGAGGCAGCAGUAGGGAAUCUUCGGCAAGAGGGGGAAUCCUGAACGAGCAACGCCGCGUGAGUGAAGAAGGGUUUCGGAUCGUAAAGCUCUGUUGUAAGUCAAGAACGGGUGUGAGAGUGGAAAGUUCACACUGUGACGGUAGCUUACCAGAAAGGGACGGCUAACUACGUG